AUUGAACGCUGGCGGCAGGCCUAACACAUGCAAGUCGAGCGAGCGGCGGACGGGUGAGUAAUGUCUGGGAAACUGCCUGAUGGAGGGGGAUAACUACUGGAAACGGUAGCUAAUACCGCAUACCAUCGGAUGUGCCCAGAUGGGAUUAGCUAGUUGGUGGGGUAAAGGCUCACCAAGGCGACGAUCCCUAGCUGGUCUGAGAGGAUGACCAGCCACACUGGAACUGAGACACGGUCCAGACUCCUACGGGAGGCAGCAGUGGGGAAUAUUGCACAAUGGGCGCAAGCCUGAUGCAGCCAUGCCGCGUGUAUGAAGAAGGCCUUCGGGUUGUAAAGUACUUUCAGCGGGGAGGCGUUACCCGCAGAAGAAGCACCGGCUAACUCCGUGCCAGCCGCCGCGGUAAUAC
rnacentral:rRNA from 1 species